rnacentral:rRNA from 1 species
UACGGGGGGGGGCAAGCGUUGUUCGGAAUUACUGGGCGUAAAGGGCUCGUAGGCGGCCAACUAAGUCGGACGUGAAAUCCCUCGGCUUAACCGGGGAACUGCGUCCGAUACUGGAUGGCUGGAGGUUGGGAGAGGGAUGCGGAAUUCCAGGUGUAGCGGUGAAAUGCGUAGAUAUCUGGAGGAACACCGGUGGCGAAGGCGGCAUCCUGGACCAAUAUUGACGCUGAGGAGCGAAAGCCAGGGGAGCAAACGGG